CUGGGCCACCAAAGCAGUGAGUAUUGAACUUUAACACCUAGGCCAUCAGAGCUGGCUCUAUCACUAAUAAUUUUAUGAUUACAUAUCUUCUCUCUCCAACUGGGCCAUAUAUUGUUUAAUAAGAGAUUGUUAUAAUUUUAGAGCCCCAGAGCUCAGUGAUUUGAGAAGUCAUGCACAUUGUAAAUCAUCAAUAAAUACAUAUUGCUUGAUUGAAUUAACUGAUAUUCUUAAUGUAUAUAAUCAGUAGUUGGUUUGUUUAACUUUCUAUAUUAACUCAGAGCAAAUGUCCUCUAUUCCUGAGAUCAUCACUAAAUUCUAUUAAUAUUUGAAAGCCCAUCUUGAGUCCAUACUUCUGUAAGAAGCCGUUUAGGCUCACCAAACCACAGAACUUGACAUUUUAAAUCCAUACAAUUCAUUUGGAAAUUUACCAUGUACUUUUUGGGGAUAAUUCAUAUUUUAAUUUAUGUAGUGCAUUGUAUUUGCAUUUGAGUUACCUUGUAACUUACAUUUUCACACUUGUACAUUUUGCAACCAUACUAUGAGCAAAUAGAUAGCAGAGAUCCUUCAUCCUGAAGUCAGAAGCGAGACACUGACUGAUUCUAGGACCCUGAUGCCAUGCCUUUUACAGAGUGUUCCAAGAAAUGUGUGGAAGAAGAUCAAGAUGGUGAAGGAUUUAAAAACCAUGACAUACGCAAAGUGGCUGAAAGACCUGAUGGCUCUGAAGGACAUGGGAAAGGAGCUACAGCAUUGUUUUCAUAAUCUGGGUUCUCCAGCUACCCAUUACCAAUUAAGAGGAGCUGAUACAUGCAUUUUACGUGCAAUCGAGGACAAAUCCCUCUGGAAUAAUUUUUUGGAAUGAGAUGUAAAUAAAUGAUAAAUCUUCCCAGAAGAGUAGCCCUGAACAAAUGAUAAGCAUAGUCCACCCGGCCCUGAAGAAGUGCAAUCGACAGUAACUUUUAGGAUCAAGAAUCCAGCUCCCGCAGAGAUGAGCACCAGAUUUUAUACAAAGCCGGACACACUUGACCACAGCAGCCCUACAUCUCUUUGGCUCACCCGCUUUCUCUGCCCUCCCCACUGCUUUUUCCUCACAGAGAGAAGAGGAACAGCAGAAAGAAGAGAGUGGAUAGGAGGGAAGUUCCUAUAAUAUGAGAAACACACUAGAAGAAAAAUCACUGUGAAGCAACGUGUCCUCAAUGCCUUCUGUGGCACAGUAUAUACCACUUCUAAAGCUUCUGAGAUCCUUGGGAAAUGCACUGUAUAUCUUUGGGGAAAACCACCAAAUGUGGUGGCAACCAUUCGGUGUUAGUGAAGAUGGGAGAAAUGAGGGAGCUGUGUUGUUUUCCAGACGGCCUUUUGUAUCGUGGUGUUCUUGCCCACCAGCACCACAGCUUUCCCAUAGAGAAACAUACAGAUCUGCUGCUUCUACUUGGAGCCUACAUUGUCUGCUCCAACAUAAAGCAUUUUGGAUAAUCAUCCAAUAGUUGGACAAUCUGAAGGAAGGAGUUGUACUUCCAGGUCACCCUGUCUUCCCUGGGCAUCCUGGUAGUGCAUCAGGGAUUGCCACAUGGGUUUAAAGAUGAGGCACGAGGAUGCCUAUUGAGAGGAGGCCCAACAUUUUCAGAGAAUCUUGGUAGUUAGGCAUAAAACCAAAUAUUUAUUUACAAAAAUGUUUGCUCCACUAUGACUCAGAAUAGAAAAAAGAUCCUAAAUUACCAAUAAUAGGGGCUUUGUAAAUAGUUUAUUUGAUGCCAAUACAUUGGAAUCGUACUAUUGAGUUAUUUAAAAAAUCUUAAGUGGAAAUCUAUUCAAGUGAGAAAAUAUCUCUAAAAUGUUGUCAAGAGACAAAGAAAGACACAGUAGAAUGUGUAUAAUAUGAUCUCCAUUUUAUGGCAUAUAUGGAAAAUAUUUAUACAAAAGUAUUCAUGUGAUUAUACUAGAUGGUUGAGAUCAUGAAUGAGUUAUUGAUUUUCUCUCCUCUUUUUGUAAUUUAAAAUUUUUUUACAUUAAAUAAUUAUUAUUUAUGCAAUCAGAAAAAGUGUAUAUUAACAAAAUAGUGACAAAUAAAAUCUCUUGGGAAGGAUGGUGUGGCCUUUUUGAGAAAUACAAGCAAGUUUGGGAGAAAGCUAGAAGACUAAUAAAACACGUACUACGUGAAUGGCUAAAAUGAAAGACAAGCAACUCCAUGUGUUGGUGAUAUUGUAGAUUAAUCAGAACCCUCCUGUGCUCACAGUGGGAGUAUGUGUUAGUUUAAGUACUUCGGCAUAUUAUUUGGCAGUAUCUAGCAAAACUGAACAUGAGCACUCUCUAAGACCCAGUAAUUUCACUUGUGAAAAUACCCCUAGAAGAAAUGCAUACAGAUAGUCCCCAUAAAAUAUGUAUAAAAAUGUGCAUGACAGAAUUAUUUGUGAUAGUCCCAAACUGAAACCAACUCAAAUAUGCAUCAAGAGUAAAAUGAAUAUAUAAAUUAUGGUGUUUUCAUACAACAGUGAAACAAUGCUAUAUACAACAAUGUGGAUGAUUUUCACAAAUAUAAUAUUGAGCAAAAGAAGCCAAUAUAUACUGUAUUCUAUUUAUAUAACAUUAAAAAAACAAGGAAAAGUCAUCUAUGUGUUAUAUAUCGAGAUAGCAGUUACUUUUAGAAGGGUAAUGCCUGCCACGGGGCAUGAAGUGGUUGGUAAUGUUUCAUUUCUUGAUUUGGGCGCUGCUUACAUGGUUUCUGGACUUGUAAAAAAAAAAAAACCAUUAAACUGAACACUUGUACAUGUGUCACACUUUGAUGAAAUGUGUACUUUAAGAAAAGUUGCUAAAGAAACCAUUUAUGUAUGUUAUAUUAAGUUAUCUGGUGGAAGGAUGAGUUAGAACACGAUUUAAAAAGAAAAAGAUUAAAGGUAAACCUAGUUGCCAGAAAACCCAACUUGGUCUCAAACUUCUAUGUGUGUUGGUUGAAGUCUCCUAGGCAGGACACAGGUUCCAAACAUGUUUUCCUCUUUGAAUUUCCUGAGCUCUGACUUGGCUCUUCCAGUAAGUUCUUGACUUGGCCCCUCUUGGUAGCUGUCUGAUCUUGGUGCUCCAGACCUCGGCUUCCUGCCUGACUCCAGCUUGGCUUAGCCACAUGUGUGACCCCAGGUCCCCACCCCGUGGACUGACUUCAUGUCCAAUCUAUGGCUUCAUCCCCUCAAU